GGGACGAUAAGACCCUAUAGAAUUUUAUAUAAAAUAAAUUUUAUAUUAAUAUAAAAUUUAUUUUAUAUUUAAUUGGGAGAAUUAUUAAAUUUAAAAGAUUUUGAUUUUUAUAAACUUAAAUUAAAGAAAAGUUAUUGAUUUGAAAUUUUUAAUUAUUAGUAUAAAUUACCUUAGGGAUAACAGCGUAAUAUUUUUUUAUAGAUCUUAUAGAAAAAAAUGAUUGCGACCUCGAUGUUGAAUUAAGAUAAAUUUUAAAUGUAGAAGUUUAAUAAUUAAGUCUGUUCGACUUUUAAAAUCUUACAUGAUUUGAGU
rnacentral:rRNA from 1 species